rnacentral:piRNA from 1 species
UGAUCUAUUAUGAUGACCAGACUCGGC